CCUCGGGAGGCAGCAGUGGGGAAUACUGGGCAAUGGACGCAAGUCUGACCCAGCAACGCCGCGUGAAGGAAGAAGGCUUUCGGGUUGUAAACUUCUUUUAAGGGGGAAGAGCAGAAGACGGUACCCCUUGAAUAAGCCACGGCUAACUACGUGCCAGCAGCCGCGGUAAUACGUAGGUGGCAAGCGUUGUCCGGAUUUACUGGGUGUAAAGGGCGUGCAGCCGGAGAGACAAGUCAGAUGUGAAAUCCGCAGGCUCAACCUGCGAACUGCAUUUGAAACUGUUUCCCUUGAGUAUCGGAGAGGUCAUCGGAAUUCCUAGUGUAGCGGUGAAAUGCAUAGAUAUCACGCAGAACCCCGAUUGCGAAGGCAGCAUGCCGGCUUCCGACUGACGCUGAAGCACGAAAGCGUGGGGAUCGAACAGGAUUAGAUACCCGGGUAGUC
rnacentral:rRNA from 1 species